rnacentral:rRNA from 1 species
AGAACGAACGCUGGCGGCAUGCCUAACACAUGCAAGUCGAACGAGACCUUCGGGUCUAGUGGCGCACGGGUGCGUAACGCGUGGGAAUCUGCCCAAAGGUUCGGAAUAACUCAGGGAAACUUGAGCUAAUACCGGAUGAUGUCGCAAGACCAAAGAUUUAUCGCCUUUGGAUGAGCCCGCGUAGGAUUAGCUUGUUGGUGAGGUAAAGGCUCACCAAGGCUACGAUCCUUAGCUGGUCUGAGAGGAUGAUCAGCCACACUGGGACUGAGACACGGCCCAGACUCCUACGGGAGGCAGCAGUGGGGAAUAUUGGACAAUGGGCGAAAGCCUGAUCCAGCAAUGCCGCGUGAGUGAUGAAGGCCCUAGGGUUGUAAAGCUCUUUUACCCGGGAAGAUAAUGACUGUACCGGGAGAAUAAGCCCCGGCUAACUCCGCGCCAGCAGCCGC